AUAUGGUGUUAGGAAGAAUAGCAGGAGCCAGAAAUUUUUCAGGAGCCAGAGAUUCUUCCUCAAUUCCCAGAGCCAGUGAAUCCGGAGAAAGAGAUUCGGGAAUCCUCCCAGGUGGAGCUGAAGUUCUGCUUGGUCCUUCCCAGAAGGGAAAAGCUACUGAGCUCAGUGAUCAGUCCCAGUGCUGCACCAGGAAGGGGUCACAAAGCUGGUUACUUAUCUGCGUGCGACCUUAUAGGAGUCUAGAUGUGGGGCUGUCAAUGGAGCACAGCACCCUAGCCUGGAUACUGGAGAUGGGGAGACCCUCACUAUUUUGGGAUCAUACCUGUGCCUCUCUCACUACAGCAGAAGAUCCUCUUCCAGAAUUGAACUGAGAAAUGGGUAUUCUAUGAGGAAAGCAUUUCAGUGAAUCUGUCUGGGAAUGGCGAGGAAGGAAGAGCUCGGAAUCCCUGGGAAUGGUUAACUAAAAUUAACCCAACUCAACAUGUGCUUGCAGAACAUUCACGCUAUAUUGAAAGAAGCCAAACAAAAGAAAGAUUUCCAAUCCUCAACAUGGGUUUCCCAAACUGCCUUCAUAGGACAUCAAUAGCUCCUAGAGCAGGGGGAAAGGGUGUACAAACACAUCUGAGGGACCCUGAGUUAAACAAAGAUCCUUUUCUUGGAGGUGGCACCUCUCAGAGAUUUCAAUACACCGAUGGGAACUGUGAAACCCCAGAUCUUCUAAGGCAGGUUCAAAGCUGUUUCUACUAUACUAUCUUGAGUCUCCAAAAUGGUUUGGAAUGUACUGCCUGCCACUGGAGACAGUAGCUGAAUACACUUUAUGCUACAGAAAUGUUUCUUGAAGGUUGUAUGAGUUCAGAACGUGCAGUUCAUGAGCGUGGCUUCCCAAAGUGCCUUCCAAGUUGCAAAAGAAAUUCUACAAAAUCCCGAUUCAAGAUACACAUAAAGGCCCAGUGCAGUGGCUCACGCCUGCAAUCCUAGCACUUUGGGAGGCCAAAGUGGGCAGAUCACUUGGGUCCAGGAGUUUGAGACCAGCCUGGGCAACAGGGUGAAACCCCAUCUCUACAAAAUAUACAAAAAUCAGCCGUGCAUGGUGGCGCUUACCUAUGUAGUCUCAGCUACUUGGGAGGCUGAGACAGGAGGAUUGCUUGGGCCCAGGAGGUGGAAUUUGCAGUGAGCAGAGAUCAUGCCACUGCAUUCCAGCCUGGGCGACAGAGUGAGACCCUGUCUCAAACAAAACAAAACAAACGACAAACAAACAAACCAAAAAAAAUUCACAAAAACAGAUUUAAACACUGUGACAAGAAGUCAACACACACACUCAAACAAGUUACCUCAUUUUAACAGUGUUCUCAUUACUUUGUAAGAAGAAAUAUAAUUUAAUAAACUUAC